rnacentral:rRNA from 1 species
UACGGAGGGAGCUAGCGUUGUUCGGAAUUACUGGGCGUAAAGCGCACGUAGGCGGCUUUUUAAGUCAGGGGUGAAAUCCCGGGGCUCAACCCCGGAACCUGCCCUUGAAACUGGAGAGCUAGAAUCUGGAGAGGCGAGUGGAAUUCCGAGUGUAGAGGUGAAAUUCGUAGAUAUUCGGAGGAACACCAGUGGCGAAGGCGGCUCACUGGUCC